rnacentral:snoRNA from 1 species
GUGUCAAAGAUAUAACCUUAUCUUAAGAAAUUGUGAUGACAUAAAAAUCAUGUUCAUAGGAUUAUGCUGAGGUCC